rnacentral:rRNA from 1 species
GCUUACGGCCAUAUCAGCCUGGGUACGCCCGAUCUCGUCUGAUCUCGGAAGCUAAGCAGGGUCGGGCCUGGUUAGUACUUGGAUGGGAGACCGCCUGGGAAUACCAGGUGCUGUAAGCA